ACAAAGCUAACUAUUCUUUCGCCUUUUACUAAAGAAUACGGAGCGCUCUCCACGCGUAAGUGGCAUAAGCCUAUUCUUGGAGGGUUCUCACUUCACCGUGAGUCCCAACAAUCUUCUUAGUCUGAAAUUUUUUGGUUGGCCAUUUCGGCUGAUAAGCACCAGUCCCUAAUACAACUAUGCAGUUUGUUAUAAACUUAAUUUUGUCACGAAAUUGGGUAUUUUCGUGCAUUUUUCAAAUUUUUCAUGUAUACAUACACAUUUGGUGAAUUAUCAAAUUCCUAAGCAUUGUGCAAAAGAGAGAGGAGGAGAAAUGAAGAAGAUGAAAGCAAAAAAGAUCUAAACUUUCCUUAAGCUCUUUGAUGUCUUCCCUGUACGAUUCAAUCGACGAGUCGCAUCAACUCAGUUCGACUCUGACUAUGGAUGGAGGAGAGCUCAGUAUCACAGGUCUUUUGGCGAUCGGUGCGACAUUGAAGUCUAUGGAGCUUCAACUUGAAGCUAUUGGAGACUUAUUGCGUCAAAGGAAGGAAGCUAUUCCCAAGGGCAAGAUCUCUUCGUUUCUCUAUUUCCCUACUCUGUUUUAUAUUAAGAUGACCAAAUCUGAGAUUGACACUCUACAGGGACCUAUCUCUCAUCUUACUGUGGUUUAUAUGAACAUGGCAAUGACGUUGCAUCCAGAGUUGUUUUCAGAAGAUACAAAUAUAUGUUUGAUCCAGGAGGAGCCUAACAACAGUAUUAGCCCUGAGUAUUUGUGUGAUUUCAGGCGAUGAUUCUCUCCCCAAGCCCAACCGAGGAGGAGGAUAUACGACUGAACAACCAACUUCAGAAUGAACCGGAACCGUUGAGGCGUGAAAGCUAAGACAGACAACAGUUCAGUUGGUGUGGUAACAAAAGAUGGAUAGGCUCGUGCAGAAAAGUAAAGGAUAGGGUCGUUUUACUAAUUCGUAUCUCUAAUUUCUCUAGUUUGUUGAGAAAAUUAUAACCUGUGUCACCCACUUCUUGGCCCUCUUCUUGUGUCCAAGAGUAAUGGUGGGAAAGUGGUAAUUACAAUAUAGCAAUACUGAUAUGACUAUAUCAGCAGUUAAAUGGUUUUGCAUGAGUAAAUGGCAUGCUCUCUUUGAAUA